AGCGGUAACAGCUCAAAUUUGAAAGCUGCCAACAGGCCGCGUUGUAAUUUGUAGAAGCUGCUUUGGGUGUCGGCCCGGUCUAAGUUCCUUGGAACAGGACGUCAUAGAGGGUGAGAAUCCCGUAUGUGAUCGGUGCCGUUGCCCGUGUAAAGCGCUUUCGACGAGUCGAGUUGUUUGGGAAUGCAGCUCAAAAUGGGUGGUAAAUUUCAUCUAAAGCUAAAUAUUGGCCAGAGACCGAUAGCGCACAAGUAGAGUGAUCGAAAGAUGAAAAGCACUUUGGAAAGAGAGUUAAACAGUACGUGAAAUUGUUGAAAGGGAAGCGCUUGCAACCAGACUUGCGGGCGGUCGAUCAUCCGAGGUUCUCCCCGGUGCACUCGAUCGUUCUCAGGCCAGCAUCGGUUUCCGGGGUGGGAUAAAGGCGGUGGGAACGUAGCUCCUCCGGGAGUGUUAUAGCCCCGGGCGUAAUGCCCUCGCCGGGACCGAGGUUCGCGCAUCUGCAAGGAUGCUGGCGUAAUGGUCAUCA
rnacentral:rRNA from 1 species